UGUGCCAGCAGACAAAACUACAUUUCAAAGUGAAGUCAUGUAGAACUAACUGAAUGGUAUUCUGUUACAGUUCUAUGUCGUAUCCCAGGUUACUGGGAGCUCCUCAAAUGAAACUGCUGAUUUGAGAUAUUGAGGUACAGCUCCACGAGAUUGAUUCGAGAGGCAAACAACCACCAUUUACCCACCUGGCACUAAGCACACUAUUUUUAAAGCUAUGAUCCAUCAUGCAACAGAGCUCGUUGUAAAACCUGGGGUGGAUAUUAUGGAGCAACUAAAGAAAAAAAUGCCUCUGCAGUUCACGUAACACUGGAGAGAUUUUUUCCAAGACUUUACUACUAUGGCAAUAGUCUCCUUCAGAGUCCAUCGGUGAAAUUUUAAGUUUUGCAUCACGAUCAAGUGAUUUUUUUUUUCCUCUGGGAGUACUUGCGACAAGCGUAAAGAUACAUGUAAUACAUCAAUCAACUCAAGUUAGCUGACUUCAGUGACAGGGUCACCUAAAGAAAAACACAAUCCUCUGAAAACACACGUUCCUCCAACCAGCAGCUUCAGUGAAGCCUGGGUGCAGCACGGCCUGAGGGUUAAAGAACUUGGACUUUGCCAGAAGGAAGAAUUGCAGAUGUGGGGACCCUCCAACUAUUCUUCUCACAGCCCUCAGUUGUCAAUUAUUGACAUUUCCAUUGCACCUUUAAUCCAACCCCGGAUGCAGCCCGGAGCUCUUCUCUACCCCAGAGGAGGCUAGCCAGCCACAGCUGUUUUAUCUUGGUGAAGCGCAAACAGGAGAGGAGGCCCCUGAGAUGACCUUGGGAGCCCAGCCUCCCUCUUUGUUAUAGCUGGCUGAACGGCUGCUCAGAAUUAGAAAGUGGCCAAGAAGAACUAAGGAGGACUUUCUGACUGAGGUUAUGAUGCACUCCAUGGCUGAAAAACAGGAACUGAAGGAGUGGUGGGACAGCGAGAAGAGGGACCAAAAGGAGAACACAGGGUGCCAGAAUGAAGCCAUGGAGCAGCUCUUAAACGUUAUGGAGCACUAAGCAGACAUGUGCCAGGAGAUACUAGCCCUGCAAACCGAGCAGCUCUGCACCCACCCUCCCCUGCAGGCAUUGUCGCAGAACUCUUUCCCAUGCACCCCCCCCACCCCAGACACUGCCAACCUCCUGGCUCCUCUUAUCAACCUCCUGGCUUCCGUCUGCACCUGCUUCAUUCCACUCCUCCCCCGUCACAUUCCAGCCCUGCGGACUCCCAGUACCCACUGCACUCGACACUCGUUCCUCUGCUGUUUAGCCCCUCCUGAAAUACAGUACAUACUACCCUGUACUCCAAAGGAGAAGAUUGGAUAUGACCCCUGGACAUACACAAAUUUUUAACCGUCCCAGGACCUCACCUCCUCCUGGGACCUUCCCUUCCCCCAUCCCCCUCAGUCAGAGGUGAAAGUAAGCCCGUAUGCCCCGGUACGGUGUACCGGUAAGAGCUGGUGCGCGGUACCAGGACCAGCUUUCCCAGACGGCAAUUUAAAGCCCUGGGGUAGCGGCAGCGGGGCUGCGGCAGGGAUUUAAAGGACCCUGGAGCUGCAGCCCCCGCUACCACACCGGGCCUUUAAAUCCCUGCCUGAGCCCUGCUGCCGAAGCCCUAGGGUAGCGGCGGCGGGGCUCCGGAGGGGAUUUAAAGGGCCGGGGCGGUAGCGGCCCCAGGGAUCGGGCAGCAGGGCUCAGGUAGGGAUUUAAAGGGCUCGAGGCUCCGGCAGCCACGACUACAGUGGAGCCCAGACCCUUUAAGUUCUGCCAGAGCCCAGAGCCCUGGGGUAGCGGUGGCAGCCGGGAGCCCCCAAGGCUCCUCAGUGCUUUAAAGGGCCUGGGGUUCCACUGCGGUAGCGGCAGCUGGAGCCCUGGGCCCUUUAAAUCGCCCCCGAGCCCCGGGGCUCCCAGUCGCCUCUGCAGCUGGUAGCUCGGGGGUGAUUUAAAGAGCCCCAGGCUCCCAGCCGCCACUACCGCAGCUGGAGCCUGGCCCUUUCAAUCAAGAUUUAAAGGGCCUGGGGAUUUAAGGCCUUGCCUCUUCCGGUUAAGGCCACGCCUCUUCCGCUUGAGGCCGUGCCCCCUGCUCAGGACUCCAGCGUUCUGGUAAGUCCUCUAACUUACUUUCACCCCUGCCCUCAGUGCUGAUGUGUUCUUUUGUUUCUCUCUCUCCUCCAGUUGUUGUUUUUUAAUAAAAGAA